rnacentral:rRNA from 1 species
AGCGAACGCUGGCGGCAGGCCUAACACAUGCAAGUCGAGCGCCGUAGCAAUACGGAGCGGCAGACGGGAGAGUAACACGUGGGAACGUACCCUUUGGUUCGGAACAACCCAGGGAAACUUGGGCUAAUACCGGAUAAGCCCUCACGGGGAAAGAUUCAUCGCCGAAGGAUCGGCCCGCGUCUGAUUAGCUAGUUGGUGGGGUAAUGGCCCACCAAGGCGAAGAUCAGUAGCUGGUCUGAGAGGAUGAUCAGCCUCACUGGGACUGAGACACGGCCCAGACUCCUACGGGAGGCAGCAGUGGGGAAUAUUGGACAAUGGGCGCAAGCCUGAUCCAGCCAUGCCGCGUGGGUGAUGAAGGCCCUAGGGUUGUAAAGCCCUUUCGGCGGGGAAGAUAAUGACGGUACCCGUAGAAGAAGCCCCGGCUAACUUCGUGCCAGCCGCCGCGGUAACAC